UACGGGGGGAGCAAGCGUUGUUCGGAUUUACUGGGCGUAAAGGGCGCGUAGGCGGCGUGACAAGUCACUUGUGAAAUCUCCGGGCUUAACCCGGAGCGGCCAAGUGAUACUGUCGUGCUAGAGUGCGGAAGGGGCGCAGAAUUCGGGGUGUAGCGGUGAAAUGUGUAGAGAUCCCGAGGAAUACCAGUGGUGAAGACGGCGCCCUGGGUCCGUACUGACGCUGAGAUGCGAAAGCGUGGGGAGCGAACAGG
rnacentral:rRNA from 1 species